UUCAGUUCGGCUGGCCGGAACACAGGUGCUGCAUGGCUGUCGUCAGCUCGUGUCGUGAGAUGUUGGGUUAAGUCCCGCAACGAGCGCAACCCUCGCCCCUAGUUGCCAUCAUUCAGUUGGGAACUCUAGGGGGACUGCCGGUGAUAAGCCGCAAGGAAGGUGGGGAUGACGUCAAGUCCUCAUGGCCCUUACAGGCUGGGCUACACACGUGCUACAAUGGCGGUGACAAUGGGCAGCGAAAGGGCGACCUCGAGCUAAUCCCAAAAAGCCGUCUCAGUUCAGAUUGUACUCUGCAACUCGAGUACAUGAAGGUGGAAUCGCUAGUAAUCGUGGAUCAGCAUGCCACGGUGAAUACGUUCCCGGGCCUUGUACACACCGCCCGUCACACCAUGGGAGGGGGGUUUUCCGGGAGGCCUGGGGCUAAG
rnacentral:rRNA from 1 species